rnacentral:lncRNA from 1 species
GUGGCUGGUCACUCCUCCCUGAUUGCAGACAGACCCCUGGUUUUCAUCACUUUGGGGUAGAUGUGGGGGAUGCAGUGAGCAGCUGCCCAGGUGCUUAUCAGGUACCCUGGCUGCCCAGCAGGAUCAGCCCCUCCAGGACCCUCGUCGGAGCCCUGCCUGGCCCCAGGCCAUGCCCAUCUUGGGGCAGCCCUGCCAACUGAUGCACCAAGGCCCUCUGUGCCUGCUCCCUGCGGAUGAAGCUCAGACUCCUGCUGAGGGGUCCCAGGGUUGGCCUCUCCUUUCCCGAUGGCAGAGGAUUGGAUGUCUUCAAUACCUAAGUCUCUGCUGCAACCCAG